rnacentral:lncRNA from 1 species
UGGCAGCGGGCGCGUGCGCGGACCGGUCCGGUUCCGGCGCGGUCGGGCGUGGUCGGCCGGGCGGUUCGGCCGGUUCGCGGUUUAGCGGGCCGGCCCAGUGGGUCGGCCCGUUCUAUUUUUUUUUUCUUUAGCCUUUUCUUUUUCUGUUUUUCUUAUUUCUUUGAUAUCUUUUGAUUUUGCACUCCAAAUUGGUUCAAAUAAAUUCCAAUUUUUUUUGUAAAAUCAUGUUUUACCAUGAUUCAACUUUUGGGAGUAGUUUCCCCUCAAAAUAAAAUAUAUAAAAAUACAUUUGCCCUAUAAAUGCCUUUAGGGCUAUAUAUCUAUUUAAAUAAAAUACAUUUUCAACUCCAAAUAAUUAUCCAAAAAUUAUGGGAUAGCUUAUAUAUGCAAUAUGCCCCGUUUAUAAAUAAACCCUAUUGGUUUGAAGAUCCAAAGCUUAAAUGGGUGUAAACAAAGUCUUUUAAAGCCUUUUGAGAUUCAAAUUUGAAUUCAAGUAUGCAAUUGUGGCAUGAUGCUCAUGGAUGCAAUGCACAUGUAAAAGUUUGAAAUUUUGGGAUGUUACAGAAGACUUCACGCUGAAGUUUCUGUGAAGCCUGAAAUGCUUCAUUCUUCACUCCGAUGGAGAACACACACAGAAAAUGAUUUUCACCUAAGCUGAACAUGAAGAAUAAGGUUUCACCUAAACCAGCUCCACACUUCAAACCCCCCUUAAUAGUACGGCGUUCCUAUACUCAAGUGAAGAAAAAGUUACGGAAAGAUCUUCAGGCUUCAGAACGUCGGGGUAGUGCUUGGAGAGGAAGUCUUGAAGUAAGCUACUGGUUUUCUCUUCGCGUGACACCAGCUUCUUCAGGAGUACUUGCUGAUUCUUCACAACGAGAUUCUUCAGGAACCAU